GGGGGGUUAGCUCAGCGGGAGAGCUCCUGCCUUACAAGCAGGCUGUCGCCAGUUCAAAUCUGGCAUCCCCCA
rnacentral:tRNA from 1 species